GCUGGGCGUUGUGGCGGGCGUCUGUAGUCCUAGCUAAUCGGGAGUCUGAGGCAGGAGAAUGGCAUGAACCCGGGAGGCGGAGCUUGCAGUGAGCCGAGAUGGCGCCACUGCACUCCAGCCUGGGCGACAGAGUGAGACUCAGUCUCAAAAAAAAAAAAAAAAAACCACACAAACGUUUUUUAUUUUUGUUUUUUGAAACAGAGUUUCACUUUGUUGCCCAGGCUGGAGUGCAGUGGUGUGAUCUCGGCUCACUGCAGCCUCCCCUUCCCGGGUUCAAGUGAUUCUCCUGC
rnacentral:SRP_RNA from 10 species